rnacentral:rRNA from 1 species
CCUACGGGAGGCUGCAGUGGGGAAUUUUGGACAAUGGGCGCAAGCCUGAUCCAGCCAUGCCGCGUGAGUGAAGAAGGCCUUCGGGUUGUAAAGCUCUUUCGGUGGGGAAGAAAUUGCUUGGGUUAAUACCCUGAGUAGAUGACGGUACCCGCAUAAGAAGCACCGGCUAACUACGUGCCAGCAGCCGCGGUAAUACGUAGGGUGCGAGCGUUAAUCGGAAUUACUGGGCGUAAAGCGUGCGCAGGCGGUUUUGUAAGUCAGAUGUGAAAUCCCCGGGCUCAACCUGGGAACUGCAUUUGAGACUGCAAGGCUAGAGUGUGGCAGAGGGGGGUAGAAUUCCACGUGUAGCAGUGAAAUGCGUAGAGAUGUGGAGGAAUACCGAUGGCGAAGGCAGCCCCCUGGGUCACUACUGACGCUCAUGCACGAAAGCGUGGGGAGCAAACAGGAUUAGAUACCCUUGUAGUC